rnacentral:rRNA from 1 species
CUCAGGAUGAACGUUGGCGGUGUGCCUAAUACAUGCAAGUCGAACGGUGGUUAUUUUGUAGUAAUACGAAGUGAUCAUAGUGGCGAACGGGUGAGUAACGCGUUGGUGAUCUGCCUCGAAGUGUGGAAUAACGUUCCGAAAGGAACGCUAAUACCGCAUGUGCUCUCGAUUUUUAGAAAGUUGAGAGUAAAGGAUUUAUUCGCUUCAAGAGGAGCCUGCGUCCCAUCAGCUGGUUGGUAGGGUAACGGCCUACCAAGGCUAUGACGGGUAGGGGACCUGAGAGGGUGGCCCCCCACAAUGGAACUGAAACACGGUCCAUACACCUACGGGUGGCAGCAGUAGGGAAUAUUAGAAAUGGACGAAAGUCUGAUCUAGCAACACCGCGUGUGCGAAGAAGGCCUUCGGGUCGUAAAGCACUUUUUGGAAGGAAUAGGAAGGAAUGUACUUCCAGAAUAAGUCUCGGCUAACUACGUGCCAGCAGCCGCGGUAACACGUAGGAGGCAAACGUUAUCCGGAUUUACUGGGCGUAAAGCGCGUGUAGGUGGUUCUGUAAGUAGGGCGUGAAAGCUCCCGGCUCAACUGGGAGAGGCCGUUCUAAACUGCAGAGCUAGAGGAUGGUAGAGGGAGGUGGAAUUCCGGGUGUAGCGGUGGAAUGCGCAGAUAUCUGGAGGAACACCAGUGGCGAAAGCGGCCUCCUGGACCAUUCCUGACACUCAGACGCGAAAGCUAGGGUAGCAAACGGGAUUAGAGACCCCGGUAGUCCUAGCCCUAAC